rnacentral:rRNA from 1 species
AACGCGAAGAACCUUACCUCGGCUUGACAUGCACGUGGUACCAACACGUAAGUGAAGGGACCCGCAAGGGAGCGUGCACAGAUGCUGCAUGGCUGUCGUCAGCUCGUGCCGUGAGGUGUUGGGUUAAGUCCCGCAACGAGCGCAACCCUUGCCCUUAGUUGAAUUCUCUAAGGGGACCGCCGGUCUAAACCGGAGGAAGGUGGGGACGAGGUCAAGUCAUCACGGCUCUUACGUCGAGGGCUACACACACGCUACAAUGGCCGGUACAACGGGCUGCGAAGGGGCGACCUGGAGCCAAUCCCACCAAAGCCGGUCUCAGUUCGGAUCGCAGGCUGCAACUCGCCUGCGUGAAGUCGGAGUUGCUAGUAACUGCUGGUCAGCACACAGCAGUGAAUACGUUCCCGGGCCUUGUACACACCGCUACAGU